rnacentral:lncRNA from 1 species
AGAACUGCAGAUAGUACAGCUUCCACAGGAGCAAGGGAUGUCUGAGCACAAGUGGCUGAGUUCCGAGUGACUUUAUGAAGCACUUUCUACCUUCCUCUCCGGCAUGAAAACAGGGAUUCUGCACCUGCAUCAUGGACAGUCUGGCAAAAGCCUCUGCUCUGCCUCCGGGGACAAGAAACUAGAGCAAAUAACCAUUUUGAAAUUAGAUCCUGGCAAAAUUACCAACAAUCAAUGAUGGAAACUGAAGGGAGAUUGAUUUAAAUCUUCAAUGACAGUUGUACAGAAGUUGAAGAAACACGUCAUCUUUCCAAAGAAGAGUGAGUAGCUUGGUUGGUGGUACCCUAAAAUUAGGGCAUGAUUAAGGUACGUCAUUUCUUUUAGUUCAAUCAAAGUGCUUUGCUGUUUCCAUUGCAGAGAAUUUCUUCUCCUUUUUUUCAAUCUCUCUCUCUUCCUCUUCUUCCUCUCAUUAGUAGAUGUCUUUUAUAAUUGAUGUCAUUUACUGUCCUUUCAUCAAAUGUAUGCCACAUCACUUAGGCGAACCAGCAGACAGGGCACCAAAAUACGCAUUAGAGGAGACUGGCUUCCAUGAGACGCUUCGACUGUCUCAUCAGGGCACUUGUAAUAAGCAUCUUGGUGCCACUGAAUGCAAUGCUGUGUUCAAAUAAUAGCUUUCAUCUUCACUCUUUUUAAAUAUAAAAGUAAACCUUGAAGCCCUUUGAAGGACCUAACCAAACAACUUACCUAUGAAAAUAGAUCAGUAAGGCUUUGAGAAACAUUCUUAAGUAAAAUCUGUAAAGCAUCUUUGCAUUUUUUUUUCAAGAAAGACCUCCAGGUAAAUUAUGGCUUUUAAUAAGACACAUGACAAUCUCAAUUACAAGAAUCAUUAGUGUGUGUCCUGUGUGUCAUUUUAUGUUCCCAGCAGGAUAUAUCUUUUCUCAUCUAGGGUUUCCAGGGCUGUCUACUGUUCUCUAUGUGUAAAACAUAUUUAAGUGUUCCCCCAAUGCUGCACUAAUGUUGAAACAAAACAAAACAAAAACGAAAAAAACCUUUGUCAAGUGGUCAGACAGACUGGAACUAGAGGAUUAUAGGUAAGAGAGAUAAAAUGAAGGGUUGAAAGCUAUAAUUUCUAUUUAUGUGGUGGCAACCAAAUCAGCUGUUGGAGUCAGGCAAUUUAAAGAUGUGGCUACUGUAGCUCAGAGUCUGGGAAGAAGACAUUUCUGCGUCUGACAGUGAAUCAGGCCCCCAGUUUUGAAGAUGUGCUGUAGGUGAUUCCUCGCUGAAUCCAUUUCCCAGUUAGUUUCUAUUCCCCGCCCCAUUCCUGUGUCCCCACACUUUCCACUUGAUUUUAUCUCUUUGACAAUUCUAUAUUUUACUUUCCUUCCUCUCAUUCCCCUUUUCCCACCCCGUUUUUUUACCGUAGUUUCUUGGCCUCUGACUACUGUUCCAUGCUGGAUGUCCCCAGAAAAUAGAGUAUGUUUAGAAAGGAGACAGUGCAUCUCAGAAGGGCCUCCCCAGUCCACUAGUCCAUUUUUUAAUGUGUUGUGCUCUGUGGGUGUCAUGAAUAUUUGUAGAUGAAGUAAUUUGGGACAUGAAUUUUGAUAGAAGCAGGAUCACCAAUAAAAUGAUAAAUGUAGGUACCUGUCUACCUUGCAUAAUAUUCACUAUGAUCUUGAGAAUUUCAAUGUAUAAUUUGUCUUUAUUCUUAUUUUUCAUUAGAAUUAACAGAAUCUCAGAGCUGGUAGAAAGUAUAGAAACUGUAUAUACAACUCUCAUAUUCAGAUGAAGAAAAUGAUGCACAAAAAAUCAACUGUCCUAAGCCAUUCAGCUUGUCUAUAAGUGCUGUUGGCUUAAUUAUAGUUUUGCAUAUAUUUAGGCGAAGAAAAUACUUUCUCAGAAACCGGUUAGAACUGUUUGAGAAGAAAUAUAAUCAUCAAAAUAUAUACACAGUAAAAUGUAACCGUCCAUCAUUCAACAUAGGCAAGAAUAUGUAUUGAAUUGCCUGAGUGUAUUAUUCAUAUAGCAAAACUUACUGGAAUUGCUAAUAAAUCUUCUGACCUCUGUAUAUGUAUAAAAUAUAUAAACCAACCAAAUUCUGUACAUAAAUAAAUUUAUUUUUGGAUACCAGUACAAUCCCUAUUUCACUUUUGUGUAUUCCAGUUAUUUAUUACUCACAGUUCUGUAGUUUUAACCAGAACAAAGGGAUUACCCAGAAGAAAAGAAGGUAAGCUAUUUCAUCAGUUUUGUUGGAAAUCAGAAGUUUUUUUUUCUAUUAUUAGCUUUGUAUUCUUAAAAAAGAAAAACGAAGGAGAAAAAAAA